rnacentral:rRNA from 1 species
CUACGGAGGGUGCAAGCGUUAUUCGGAAUCACUGGGCGUAAAGGGUGCGUAGGCGGUUUGAUAAGUCUGAUGUGAAAUCCUAUGGCUCAACCAUAGAACUGCAUUGGAAACUGUCAGGCUAGAAUACUGAAGGGGCAGAUGGAAUUAGUGGUGUAGGGGUAAAAUCCGUAGAUAUCACUAGGAAUACCGAAAGCGAAAGAGAUCUGCUGGGAAGUUAUUGACGCUGAGGCACGAAAGCGUGGGGAGCAAACGGGAUUAGAAACCCUAGUAGUCC